AUAGGAAGCCCGCGUCCUUUUCCUCACAGGGACGUGCUCGUACUGCCCUCCACCUGAGUUCAGAUUUCUGCCCCUAAUUUACCGUAUUAUGGAGAGCUUGCUGGUGCGCCUGCCCUUCUUCAGUAGCUGCUUAACCCUUUGCUGCUCUGAGAUGGCUGCAAAUACCUGAGGCUCAUUCUGACAGUAUACAUACAAAGAAUACAGUGUUCAUUCUGGCACUGCUCUUCUUGGCAGAGUUAAACCUUAAGCAAGCUUGAGAGGUCGUUAUCAAACAAUUUGAGCCUACAGAAUGGGAAAACCAGAUGACCACAGUGGAAGAAUAGGCAGAAGAAUGGGAUUACCCAAGCAUUUCUAAAUUUUAAAAAGACCUAACGAUUGCACAGUUGCAAGGUGAGCUGGAUUAAUCAGGUGGCUCAACAGAGAACAAAACCACCAAAACAGUCGGAUGGGCUAUUUUGAGUCAAAGCACUAGAAAGUACCUGGCAAAGGUAAUUAUGUGGCAACUUCUUCUAAGAGAGGGAAAAGAAGCCAACUUUCUGACAUCCAAAAGUAUUCCUCUGAGGUGUUGUUCAACCUAGACCAAAACUUUCCAUUGUCCUGAUGCUUUCCAGACCAGCAUAAGACACUGAGCUGAGCUUGGAGAGCCCUCUGCAGCUAAGCUCUCAGCCCAGAAAUCCCUCUGAAGACCUUCAGAAAAGCCAUGUUCCAGUGCUUCUUUAAGCUAUGUCUUGACUCAACAAAGAGGAAGACACCCUCAGCAAUGACACACCUCAUUGCAUAUUGCAUCUGCCUUGGAAAAGGAUGAGUUGUCCUCUGGAAUUGCUUUAACACUCAUUUAUAUCUAAUAUAAUAGCUUAGUCUAGGUGUUUACAUUAAGAAAAUGUGAGAUGUUUCUUAACACUGGCGUGCAUUUACAUUGCAUUUACAGAAACAAUCUUGCUUAGGUACCAGAAGCAGUCUGUCCGUAGUCUACAUGUGAAGAACAUUUCUGCCACUCUGAAUUUGAAGACUUAGAGGGCUGGUGGCUCCUGGCGGCUGUAGGAGCUGCAUCUCCCCUCCGUUCUCAUGGAAGCGCAGGGAUCCAGGAAGCUCCUCUGGAUGAUGGGAACAGAGGUCUCUUAACAGGCUACCUAAAAAAUUCACUGCUGCUCACUGCAAACUGGAGAAAAGUGUGCCUCAUUCAUCACUGCACUUCUGCCCAGACGAGGCAAUGUAACACCACUGAAAACAGCUGGGAUGGAGCUGGAAUAGAGCUGCAGUGAAUCAGUGUAGAGAAUAAACUGUCACACUGCUGGAAUUUUACUUGUAGCCUUUGCACAUCAAAUGUACUGCUUGCACUGCAAAGCAGCAGCAUCACUCUUGUAAGCACAAAUAAAACACACCUCUUUGGACAGUCUGAUCUACUUAGAAUAAAAAACUACACUAAU
ensembl:lncRNA